rnacentral:rRNA from 1 species
GGCAGACUACACAUGCAGUCGAGCGGAUGAAGGAGCUUGCUCCUGGAUUCAGCGGCGGACGGGUGAGUAACGCCUAGGAAUCUGCCUGGUAGUGGGGGACAACGUUUCGAAAGGAACGCUAAUACCGCAUACGUCCUACGGGAGAAAGCAGGGGACCUUCGGGCCUUGCGCUAUCAGAUGAGCCUAGGUCGGAUUAGCUAGUUGGUGAGGUAAUGGCUCACCAAGGCGACGAUCCGUAACUGGUCUGAGAGGAUGAUCAGUCACACUGGAACUGAGACACGGUCCAGACUCCUACGGGAGGCAGCAGUGGGGAAUAUUGGACAAUGGGCGAAAGCCUGAUCCAGCCAUGCCGCGUGUGUGAAGAAGGUCUUCGGAUUGUAAAGCACUUUAAGUUGGGAGGAAGGGUUGUAAAUUAAUACUUUGCUGUUUUGACGUUACCGACAGAAUAAGCACCGGCUAACUCUGUGCCAGCAGCCGCGGUAAUACAGAGGGUGCAAGCGUUAAUCGGAAUUACUGGGCGUAAAGCGCGCGUAGGUGGUUUGUUAAGUUGGAUGUGAAAUCCCCGGGCUCAACCUGGGAACUGCAUCCAAAACUGGCAAGCUAGAGUAUGGUAGAGGGUGGUGGAAUUUCCUGUGUAGCGGUGAAAUGCGUAGAUAUAGGAAGGAACACCAGUGGCGAAAGCGACCACCUGGACUGAUACUGACACUGAGGUGCGAAAGCGUGGGGAGCAAACAGGAUUAGAUACCCUGGUAGUCCACGGCCGUAAACGAUGUCAACUAGCCGUUGGGAGCCUUGAGCUCUUAGUGGCGCAGCUAACGCAUUAAGUUGACCGCCUGGGGAGUACGGCCGCAAGGUUAAAACUCAAAUGAAUUGACGGGGGCCCGCACAAGCGGUGGAGCAUGUGGGUUAAUUCGAAGCAACGC